UACGUAGGGGGCAAGCGUUGUCCGGAUUUAUUGGGCGUAAAGAGCGUGUAGGCGGUCUGGUAGGUCCGUUGUGAAAACUCGAAGCUCAACCUCGAGACGCCGAUGGAAACCAUCAGACUAGAGUCCGGAAGAGGAGAGUGGAAUUCCCGGUGUAGUGGUGAAAUGCGUAGAGAUCGGGAGGAACACCUGUGGCGAAGGCGGCCCCCUGGGCCGGCCCUGACACUGAGACGCGAAGGCGUGGGGAGCGAACGGG
rnacentral:rRNA from 1 species